UUUGGCUAUUUUCACUAGCUUGAGCUGAGCUGCUGCAGGAACUUGGUUCUAGUGCCACACAGCUGGACUCCCAAGAGAAGGGGGAGAUGGUGGAGCUGAUCAGGUGUAUGGUCCCAAGAGUCAUAAAGAAACACAAACCGGAACAGGUUUUGAUAACUGAACGUUUUGGAUGAGAAUGGAAUUUUGUUUGGG